AUUGGCCGAUAAUGCCGUGCCGCUGUCAAAUUGCCAAAUGUCAACGUGGACUCUCUCAUUAAAACGCAGCCGUCAGGGAGCACACUUUCUACGCAUGGAAUUGAGUGGACACUACCUGCUGGCCAUAUUUGUGAAUUCGAAACUUCCUUGGACAAGAUUUUUCAUUUCACACGUUUGACGGUGGUAAUGUUCACUCAAUGGCAUGCGUAGAACAUACAUACAUCACAAUAAGCGCAUGGCGGGGAGGUAAU